GACGAACGCUGGCGGCGUGCUUAACACAUGCAAGUCGAGCGAUGAAGUUCCUUCGGGAGCGGAUUAGCGGCGGACGGGUGAGUAACACGUGGGUAACCUGCCUCAUAGAGGGGAAUAGCCUUUCGAAAGGACGAUUAAUACCGCAUAAGAUUGUAGUAUCGCAUGAUACAGCAAUUAAAGGAGUAAUCCGCUAUGAGAUGGACCCGCGUCGCAUUAGCUAGUUGGUGAGGUAACGGCUCACCAAGGCGACGAUGCGUAGCCGACCUGAGAGGGUGAUCGGCCAAAUUGGGACUGAGACACGGCCCAGACUCCUACGGGAGGCAGCAGUGGGGAAUAUUGCACAAUGGGGGAAACCCUGAUGCAGCAACGCCGCGUGAGUGAUGACGGUCUUCGGAUUGUAAAGCUCUGUCUUCAGGGACGAUAAUGACGGUACCUGAGGAGGAAGCCACGGCUAACUACGUGCCAGCAGCCGCCGUAA
rnacentral:rRNA from 1 species